rnacentral:rRNA from 1 species
CUUGCCCCAUAUAAGAGGUCUAGCCUGCCCAGUGACAUUGUUCAACGGCCGCGGUAUCCUAACCGUGCGAAGGUAGCGUAAUCACUUGUUCUUUAAAUGAGGACUAGUAUGAAAGGCAUCACGAGAGUUAUACUGUCUCCUUUCUCUAAUCAGUGAAACUAAUCUUCCCGUGAAGAAGCGGGAAUAAGAAUAUAAGACGAGAAGACCCUAUGGAGCUUUAAACAAAUGAUAUAUACCCUUUUAGCUUCAAAUUUCAGAAAAAUCUCUUAUUUUGGUAUAAUAACUAAUAGUUUUUGGUUGGGGUGACCACGGAAUAAAAAACAACUUCCGCAGUGAAAAAUUCUCCCUCACUAAAUUAAGGACUACGGCCCUAAACAUCAAUAAAUUGACAUAAUUGACCCAACAUGUUGAUCAAUGAAC